CUCCCCUUCCACCAUCCAUUCCUCCACACAGGUUCUCUUGGGUGGUUUUCAAGAGAUUGUCAGUAACUUCAUCUCUUUUGUGGAAUGCUCCUGUUCCACAGAUUUGUGUUCUGCGGAUUUCCUAACGACCCGAUUUCUGCCAGUGUUGGUUUCUAGAGGAGAAUAGGUGGAGACUUAUUGACAGGCACGUCUGGAAAAGCUUCUGUUGCUGCUGCUUACUACGAUUGAUUUUGAAAGAAGGAACUUCAAUCUUAAGGGUUGUCAGUUUGGCACCUAUUAUGAGCAUAAUAUUCA